rnacentral:rRNA from 1 species
AUACGGAGGAUCCGAGCGUUAUCCGGAUUUAUUGGGUUUAAAGGGUGCGCAGGCGGCCAUUUAAGUCAGCGGUUAAAUCGUGGGGCUCAACCCCAUUCUGCCGUUGAUACUGGGUGGCUUGAUUGCGGUCGAGGUUGGCGGAAUUCGUUGUGUAGCGGUGAAAUGCAUAGAUAUGACGAAGAACACCGAUUGCGUAGGCAGCUGACCAGACCGCAAAUGACGCUCAUACACGAAAGUGCGGGGAUCGAACAGGAUUAGAUACCCUGGUAGUCCACGCAGUAAACGAUGAUCACUAGCUGUUUGCGAUACAGUGUAAGCGGCCAAGCGAAAGCGUUAAGUAUUCCACCUGGGGAGUACGCCGGCAACGGUGAAACUCAAAUGAAUUGGCGGGG